rnacentral:rRNA from 1 species
UACGUAAGGUCCGAGCGUUGUCCGGAAUCAUUGGGCGUAAAGGGUACGUAGGCGGAUAAGCAAGUUAGAAGUGAAAUCCUAUAGCUCAACUAUAGUAAGCUUUUAAAACUGCUCAUCUUGAGGUAUGGAAGGGAAAGUGGAAUUCCUAGUGUAGCGGUGAAAUGCGCAGAUAUUAGGAGGAAUACCGGUGGCGAAGGCGACUUUCUGGCCAUAUACUGACGCUGAGGUACGAAAGCGUGGGUAGCAAACAGGAUUAGAUA